GGAAUCUUCCACAAUGGGCGCAAGCCUGAUGGAGCAACACCGCGUGAGUGAAGAAGGGUUUCGGCUCGUAAAGCUCUGUUGUUAAAGAAGAACACGUAUGAGAGUAACUGUUCAUACGUUGACGGUAUUUAACCAGAAAGUCACGGCUAACUACGUGUCAG
rnacentral:rRNA from 1 species